rnacentral:rRNA from 1 species
CGCCCCCCCGCYCUAGAAGUUUUGGAUCCUGGCUCAGGAUGAACGCUAGCGGGAGGCCUAACACAUGCAAGCCGAGCGGUAGAGAUCUUUCGGGGAUCUUGAGAGCGGCGUACGGGUGCGGAACACGUGUGCAAUCCUGCCUUUAUCGUGGGGGAUAGCCUUUCGAAAGGAAGAUUAAUACCCCAUAAUAUAUUGAGUGGCAUCACUUAAUAUUGAAAACUCCGGUGGAUAGAGAUGGGCACGCGCAAGAUUAGAUAGUUGGUGAGGUAACGGCUCACCAAGUCAACGAUCUUUAGGGGGCCUGAGAGGGUGAUCCCCCACACUGGUACUGAGACACGGACCAGACUCCUACGGGAGGCAGCAGUGAGGAAUAUUGGACAAUGGGUGAGAGCCUGAUCCAGCCAUCCCGCGUGAAGGACGACGGCCCUAUGGGUUGUAAACUUCUUUUGUAUAGGGAUAAACCUACCCUCGUGAGGGUAGCUGAAGGUACUAUACGAAUAAGCACCGGCUAACUCCGUGCCAGCAGCCGCGGUAAUACGGAGGGUGCAAGCGUUAUCCGGAUUUAUUGGGUUUAAAGGGUCCGUAGGCGGAUUUGUAAGUCAGUGGUGAAAUCUCACAGCUUAACUGUGAAACUGCCAUUGAUACUGCAAGUCUUGAGUGUUGUUGAAGUAGCUGGAAUAAGUAGUGUAGCGGUGAAAUGCAUAGAUAUUACUUAGAACACCAAUUGCGAAGGCAGGUUACUAAGCAACAACUGACGCUGAUGGACGAAAGCGUGGGGAGCGAACAGGAUUAGAUACCCUGGUAGUCCACGCCGUAAACGAUGCUAACUCGUUUUUGGUAUUUCGGUAUCAGAGACUAAGCGAAAGUGAUAAGUUAGCCACCUGGGGAGUACGAACGCAAGUUUGAAACUCAAAGGAAUUGACGGGGGCCCGCACAAGCGGUGGAUUAUGUGGUUUAAUUCGAUGAUACGCGAGGAACCUUACCAAGGCUUAAAUGGGAAAUGACAGGCUUAGAAAUAGGCUAUUCUUCGGACAUUUUUCAAGGUGCUGCAUGGUUGUCGUCAGCUCGUGCCGUGAGGUGUUAGGUUAAGUCCUGCAACGAGCGCAACCCCUGUCACUAGUUGCCAUCAUUAAGUUGGGGACUCUAGUGAGACUGCCUACGCAAGUAGAGAGGAAGGUGGGGAUGACGUCAAAUCAUCACGGCCCUUACGCCUUGGGCCACACACGUAAUACAAUGGCCGGUACAGAGGGCAGCUACACUGCGAAGUGAUGCAAAUCUCGAAAGCCGGUCUCAGUUCGGAUUGGAGUCUGCAACUCGACUUAUGAAGCUGGAA